AUUGAACGCUGGCGGCAGGCUUAACACAUGCAAGUCGAGCGGGGGAAGGUAGCUUGCUACUGGACCUAGCGGCGGACGGGUGAGUAAUGCUUAGGAAUCUGCCUAUUAGUGGGGGACAACAUCUCGAAAGGGAUGCUAAUACCGCAUACGUCCUACGGGAGAAAGCAGGGGAUCACUUGUGACCUUGCGCUAAUAGAUGAGCCUAAGUCGGAUUAGCUAGUUGGUGGGGUAAAGGCCUACCAAGGCGACGAUCUGUAGCGGGUCUGAGAGGAUGAUCCGCCACACUGGGACUGAGACACGGCCCAGACUCCUACGGGAGGCAGCAGUGGGGAAUAUUGGACAAUGGGGGGAACCCUGAUCCAGCCAUGCCGCGUGUGUGAAGAAGGCCUUAUGAUUGUAAAGCACUUUAAGCGAGGAGGAGGCUCUUUUGGUUAAUACCCAAGAUGAGUGGACGUUACUCGCAGAAUAAGCACCGGCUAACUCUGUGCCAGCCGCCGCCGUAA
rnacentral:rRNA from 1 species